rnacentral:lncRNA from 1 species
AGGGAGUAGAUUUUCAUAGUUCUAAAACCAAGACCUUGUUUAGAUCCAAAAAGUUUUUGGAUUUUGACACUGUAGCACUUCGUUUUUAUUUGACAAACAUUGUCCAAUCAUAAAGAAACUAGGCUUAAAAGUUUCGUCUCGUGAUUUAUAGACAAAUUGUGCAAUUAGUUUUUGUUUUUAUCUAUAUUUAAUGUUUUAUACAUGUGCCACAAGAUUUGAUGUGACGAAAAAUAUUAAAAAAAAAUUGGUUUUUGGGGUGAAAUAAACAAGGCCCAAAUAAAAGGUCCCUGUUAGAAUUAAUUGCUCAUUUACUGUAAUCUCCAAGCUAACUGUGCAGGCGCCAGCUAUUACUGCUGCACGUUCGGCCAUUAGCACCGGUCGGAAAGGGCCUGUUGCCCUGGUUCCCGAGCCGGUGCUACCCUUUCGGGACUAAAGGCCCACCCUUUAGUCCCGGUUCGAGGAACCGGGGCUAAAGCCCUCCCCCUUUAACACCGGUUGGUAAUAGUCCUGCUAGGGUUGCCACGUUGCAGACCAACCGGUGUUAAAGGGGUUCUUUUUUUCUUUUUUUCGGUUUAUUUCUUCGGUUUUGUUUAUUAUUUUUAUAUAAUAAUAAUAGGUUUGUCAAUACAUAUUUUAUGCUGAUAUAAUAAUAUAUAUAUUACACGCAUAUUAAGCAUAUAUAAAUAGAAAUUAUAGGCUUAGCUUUAUAAUUAAGCUUUCCCUAUAAUAAAAUGAAUAGGCCACAUCAAUAAUUAAAUAGAUGGAUAUGUAAAAAGCUUUAUAUAUAGUUUUAUAUGUACAAAAUUCGUAACAUAUAUAUAUAUAGAGUUUUUUCUCCUAAUCUCUAAAACCGAUACAAAUGAUCAUCAUUGUUUGGAAUAAGAGUUUCGUUGCCGUUGAAGUGAAACUCGCCGUUUAGAUUGAUCACUUGCUCGCGGAGAAAUCCUGCUAUCGUCUCUUGAAUAGCUUUGAUGUGGUCUUUUUGCAUGACCUUUUACCUCAACCAUUCCGUCUUUAAUUUAAAAUAAAAUAAAAAAGGUAUUAGUUAUCGAAGUUAUUCAAUAUAAUUCAGGAGAUAAUAAAAAGAGACAUGUAACGUACUCUGAGCGUCUCUGUGGGUGUUUGAUUGACUUGUGCCAUCAUGAAUUUGCACACGUAAUAUGCACAUAGGUUGUUUCCCCCUUCUUGUCUUAAACACCACUGUACGAUAUAUAUAAAAAGAUUCACGACCACGACAAUAAGAAGGCUAAAAGUUAGCAAAAGUUUGCUAGCUAGUACAACUUACUUGUGGUUGAAUUAUAUUAAGCGGCGCUUUACAAGCAAUG